GCACUGCUGACGAGUCCCAAACAGGACGAAACAGCUAGCUGUCCAAUGC
rnacentral:hammerhead_ribozyme from 1 species